GGACGAACGCUGGCGGCGUGCCUAAUACAUGCAAGUCGAACGCUGAAGGAGGAGCUUGCUCUUCUGGAUGAGUUGCGAACGGGUGAGUAACGCGUAGGUAACCUGCCUGGUAGCGGGGGAUAACUAUUGGAAACGAUAGCUAAUACCGCAUAAGAGUAGAUGUUGCAUGACAUUUGCUUAAAAGGUGCAAUUGCAUCACUACCAGAUGGACCUGCGUUGUAUUAGCUAGUUGGUGGGGUAACGGCUCACCAAGGCGACGAUACAUAGCCGACCUGAGAGGGUGAUCGGCCACACUGGGACUGAGACACGGCCCAGACUCCUACGGGAGGCAGCAGUAGGGAAUCUUCGGCAAUGGACGGAAGUCUGACCGAGCAACGCCGCGUGAGUGAAGAAGGUUUUCGGAUCGUAAAGCUCUGUUGUAAGAGAAGAACGAGUGUGAGAGUGGAAAGUUCACACUGUGACGGUAUCUUACCAGAAAGGGACGGCUAACUACGUG
rnacentral:rRNA from 1 species